rnacentral:tRNA from 1 species
CUUGAAAGACCAUCGUUGUAAUUCAACUACAAAAACA